rnacentral:ncRNA from 2 species
UUCGCAGGACAAAGCGAUGGUUCGGCAGGAAUCCGGUGCAAUCCCGGAGCGGUCGCGCCACUGUAAAUCGGAGUAGUCCUUCACGGGAGCCACCUCGACAGCCAGAUACUGCGGCCAUCGCCUGGACCUAGGG